rnacentral:lncRNA from 1 species
GCUAAAGAUGCUUUUAUUAGUAUCUGUUAUAACACAUCUCAUUAACGUAUUUAAUGUUUUUCAGUUCUGUGCUUAGACCCUCUCUUGUUUGCCUUCCACUUACUUAUCUGAUUCUCUUCCCUCUCUAGCUGGUCUUCUGCCUUCACAUUUUCUCCCCAAAGUUGAGUGUUUUAGGGUUCUCACAGGAGUAAGGUGAAGGCUUGUACUUUACCAGUGUCUAUACCACUGAACAAAAGUGUGGAGUGUCUUGGUAUUUGCAUUUGUAAAACAGUUGGAAUUCAAGAAACAGGUGCCGUUACUGUUUCAAAUGCUGUGCUGUUCAGAAUGGAGGGCAGGAGAUGGGUAAAAUGAUACAGCCAUUAUUACAUCCCCCAUUGUUGCCUAGCACUGUGGCUGCUCACCAGAAUGGGCCUUAGAGACAGCCUUGUCCAAACUCCUCAUGGUUGCAGAUGGUGAAUCCAGGAUCCAGAAAGAUAAAUGUCUUUAGAAGUCUACACAGUUAGUUUUUUCCCCUAGUCUUUGUGUGUUUCUUGGUGGAACUGGAAAAGAGACGUGGGAGAAUUUGGGAGCUCACCUAGAGAUGAAAUUUUCUUGGAGAUGAUCAAGUUACCAGCAAGAGAAGGUUGGACACAACACUUUGUUGAAUAUUAUUGCUGGGUGAGCUGGAAAGGAACCAGUAGUUACAUGGUAGCCUUUGAGUCCUUGUGAUCAGUUACAUUGUUCCCAAACUGCCAAUCUGCUGUCACAGGAUACAUUGUUCCCAAACUGCCAAUCUGCAUGUUCAUGGAGACAGAAGAGAAAGCUGGAAAGUGGCUGGUCCUUUGAUAAUGGGAUUCAAGCCAGACCGAGAGUUUUACUUUCUUUUGCUGGGGGAAUUCGAGAACUACCUUGAAUGUUAUUCCACCCAGAAGAAAAAAGACUUAGAAUUUUCCAACAAAACGACCAUCCUCGGAGAAGCCAGCAGAAACGGCAUAGGGUUUAGAACAUGCGCGUCACCGUCACCACCUACGCACAAACGUAGGAUUUAGAACCGCCUUGCUGCGCACGGCACCGUGUCACCACCUACGCACCUAAGCAAGCUGAUCCUGUAUACCUGGAAAAGAUUUUUCAAACAGACUUUGUCAGCUCAGCGUUGGCAUUCCUUGUCAAACAAAAGCACGCCUAAAGACGCAUUUCAAAAGCAGACGAUGCUGCACUUGCUAUCCUGCAGAAAAUCGAAAAGAAACUCAGAGGCCGAGAACAAACAGAAUGGAGAACCAACGCCGUGCAGAGCGCCGUUCUGAGAAACACUUUCAGAGAACCAAAUAUGUUUUCA